rnacentral:rRNA from 1 species
GACGAACGCUGGCGGCGUGCCUAAUGCAUGCAAGUCGAGCGAAGUUUUUCUGGUGCUUGCACCGGAAAAACUUAGCGGCGAACGGGUGAGUAACACGUAAAGAACCUGCCUCAUAGACUGGGACAACUAUUGGAAACGAUAGCUAAUACCGGAUAAUAGCAUUAACUGCAUGGUUGAUGUUUAAAAGUUGGUUUUGCUAACACUAUGAGAUGGCUUUGCGGUGCAUUAGCUAGUUGGUGGGGUAAAGGCCUACCAAGGCGACGAUGCAUAGCCGACCUGAGAGAGUGAUCGGCCACACUGGGACUGAGACACGGCCCAGACUCCUACGGGAGGCAGCAGUAGGGAAUCUUCCGCAAUGGGCGAAAGCCUGACGGAGCAACGCCGCGUGAGUGAAGAAGGAUUUCGGUUCGUAAAGCUCUGUUGUUAGGGAAGAAUGAUUGUGUAGUAACGAUACACAGUAGAGACGGUACCUAACCAGAAAGCCACGGCUAACUACGUG